rfam:Hepatitis C virus gene for polyprotein, complete cds, isolate: HCV-M8774
AUCCCUGUCGUUGGCGCCCCGGUCGGAGGCGUCGCCAGAGCUCUGGCACACGGUGUUAGGGUCCUGGAAGACGGGAUAAAUUACGCAACAGGGAAUCUACCCGGUUGCUCUUU